ensembl:lncRNA
UCUUAAAGGAAAGCAGUCCUGAAUGUUCAUUGGAAGGACUGAGGCUGAAGCUGAAACUCCAAAACUUUGGCCACCUGAUGAGAACUGACUCACUGGAAAAGACCCUGAUGUUGGGAAAGAUAGAAGGCAGGAGGAGAAGUGGAUGACAGAGGAUGACCGAGUGGAUGGACAUGAGUUUGAGUAAACUCCGGGAGUUGGUGAUGGACAGUGAGCCCUGGUGUGCUGCAGUCCAUGGGGUCGCAAAGAGUCGGACACGACUGAACAACUGGACUGAACUGAUUAACCAUCCUAUCAAAGUAGUAUUUUAUUAAAUAAGAAAGACGUAUGCAAGCUGUAAGCCCACUGGGCACGCAGCUACACUGAGGUCGGCGCCAACGUAAGGGAUCGAGGGGAAGCGGGCCUCCGAUCGCCGCACCACCUGCGGUGGCUGGAGCCAGGGGAGCGGCCAAUGCGCGCCCUUUUCUGUCGGAGGACUUGAAGCCGCCAGCCGGAAACGCUCUCCUCCUACCGUCGCCUUCCCUUUAAAGCCGGCGAGGCCCCGCCCACUACGGAAGGCGAAGAGGGUCUCACCGGGGAGCCCGCUUGCGGGCUGCUGCCGCCAAACCUCAUCAAUCGGCGGCUCGGCACAGGACAGUCAGGGAUGAUGCAGAAGAACACCGGGAAGUGGAGUGAGGACAGAAAGUAGCAGGAGCUGCAGAAGAGGAGCCACGACCAGAGGAGACGGGCUCUGGGGAUACCUGUCAGUCUGUUCCAGUGCUCAGAGGAUGUGGAGUUUUUCAGUGAUCCCGUCUCAAAUAUUAGCUGGCAUUCUCCUCUAAAGAACACUUUUCUUCAUCGACUGGGGAUGAUUAUAGUUCUUCCUAAAAAGGAAAUGGCAACCCACUCCAGUGUUCUUGCCUGGAGAAUCCCAGGGAUGGCGGAGCCUGGUGAGCUGCUGUCUAUGGGGUCGCACAGAGUCGGACACGACUGAAGCGACUUAGCAGCAGCAGCAGCAGCAGCAGCAGCAAAGAUGCUUUAAAAAAAAA